rnacentral:rRNA from 1 species
UACGUAGGGUGCGAGCGUUGUCCGGAAUUACUGGGCGUAAAGCGUGCGCAGGCGGUUAUAUAAGACAGUUGUGAAAUCCCCGGGCUCAACCUGGGAAUUGCAUCUGUGACUGUAUAGCUAGAGUACGGUAGAGGGGGAUGGAAUUCCGCGUGUAGCAGUGAAAUGCGUAGAUAUGCGGAGGAACACCGAUGGCGAAGGCAAUCCCCUGGACCUGUACUGACGCUCAUGCACGAAAGCGUGGGGAGCAAACAGG